rnacentral:misc_RNA from 1 species
GAUGAAGAACGUAGCGAAAUGCGAUAAGUAAUGUGAAUUGCAGAAUUCAGUGAAUCAUCGAAUCUUUGAACGCACAUUGCGCCCGCCAGUAUUCUGGCGGGCAUGCCUGUUCGAGCGUCAUUUCAACCAUCAAGCCCCCGGCUUGUGUUGGGGACCUGCGGCUGCCCGCAGGCCCUGAAAACCAGUGGCGGGCUCGCUGUCACUCCGAGCGUAGUAGCAUAUAUCUCGCUCAGGGCGUGCUGCGGGUUCCGGCCGUUAAAAAGCCUUUUUUACCCAAGGUUGACCUCGGAUCAGGUAGGAAUACCCGCUGAACUUAAGCAUAUCAAUAAGCGGAGGA